ACGAUGUGGGAAGGCUCAGACAGCUAGGAGGUUGGCUUAGAAGCAGCCAUCCUUUAAAGAAAGCGUAAUAGCUCACUAGUCGAGUCGGCCUGCGCGGAAGAUGUAACGGGGCUAAGUAAUAUACCGAAGCUGCGGACGCGAAGUUUACUUCGCGUGGUAGGGGAGCGUUGUGUAAGUGGCUGAAGGUGAGCUGAGAGGCGAGCUGGACAUAUCACAAGUGCGAAUGCUGACAUGAGUAACGAUAAUGGGGGUGAAAAACCCCCACGCCGGAAGACCAAGGUUUCCUGUCCCAUGCUAAUCAGGGCAGGGUAAGUCGGCCCCUAAGGCGAGGCAGAAAUGCGUAGUCGAUGGGAAACGGAUUAAUAUUUCCGUACUUGGUAUAUCAGUGAAGGGGGGACGGAGAAAGUUAUGCAAGCCUGGCGUUGGUUGUCCAGGUGAAAGUGCGUAGAGUUGGACCUUAGGCAAAUCCGGGGUCCUACAUGCUCGAGACACGAGACGAGACUCCAAGGAGUUGAAGUUGCAAAUACUAUGCUUCCAGGAAAAGCCUCUAAACUUAUGAUAUAUCGAACCGUACCCCAAACCGACACAGGUGGUCAGGUAGAGAAUACUAAGGCGCUUGAGAGAACUUGGGUGAAGGAACUCGGCAAAAUCGUACCGUAACUUCGGGAGAAGGUACGCCUCUGUUUGUGAUUGGACUUGCUUCAUGAGCGAACGGGGGCCGCAGUGAAAUGGUGGCUGGAACUGUUUAUUAAAAACACAGCACUGUGCUAAAUCGAAAGAUGACGUAUACGGUGUGACGCCUGCCCGGUGCCGGAAGGUUAAUUGAUGGGGUUAUCUUCGGAGAAGCUCUUGAUCGAAGCCCCGGUAAACGGCGGCCGUAACUAUAACGGUCCUAAGGUAGCGAAAUUCCUUGUCGGGUAAGUUCCGACCUGCACGAAUGGCGUAAUCAUGGCCACGCUGUCUCCACCCAAGACUCAGUGAAAUUGAAAUUGCAGUGAAGAUGCUGUGUACCCGCACCUAGACGGAAAGACCCCGUGAACCUUUACUAUAGCUUGGCACUGAACAUUGACCCUACAUGUGUAGGAUAGGUGGGAGACUUCGAAGCAUUGUCGCCAGAUGAUGUGGAGUCAACCUUGAAAUACCACCCUUGUAGGUUUGAUGUUCUAACAUAGGUCCCUUAUCGGGAUUGUGGACAGUGUCUGGUGGGUAGUUUGACUGGGGCGGUCUCCUCCCAAAGCGUAACGGAGGAGCACGAAGGUUGGCUAAUCCUGGUCGGACAUCAGGAGGUUAGUGCAAUGGCAUAAGCCAGCUUAACUGCGAGACAGACACGUCGAGCAGGUACGAAAGUAGGUCAUAGUGAUCCGGUGGUUCUGAAUGGAAGGGCCAUCGCUCAACGGAUAAAAGGUACUCCGGGGAUAACAGGCUGAUACCGCCCAAGAGUUCAUAUCGACGGCGGUGUUUGGCACCUCGAUGUCGGCUCAUCACAUCCUGGGGCUGAAGUCGGUCCCAAGGGUAUGGCUGUUCGCCAUUUAAAGUGGUACGCGAGCUGGGUUUAGAACGUCGUGAGACAGUUCGGUCCCUAUCUGGUGUGGGCGUUGGAUGAUUGAUGGGAGCUGCUCCUAGUACGAGAGGACCGGAGUGGACGAACCGCUGGUGUUCGGGUUGUCAUGCCAAUGGCAUUGCCCGGUAGCUACGUUCGGAAUCGAUAACCGCUGAAAGCAUCUAAGCGGGAAGCGAGCCCAGAGAUGAGUCAUCCCAGACAGUUUAACUGUCCUGAAGGGUUGUUGU
rnacentral:rRNA from 1 species